GGGGCGUGGCCAGCGGCGGCCCCGCCCCUGCUGCGCGCUGAGGUGGCGCGGAGCGGCGCGGCCGGGUGGCGCCGCGGGCCGGGCCGGGCCGGGCGGCGCGGCGCGGCGCCGGGCCGGGGCGGGGGAUGCGGGGCGCGGGGCCGGGCGCGCGGUCCGCCCGCGGGGCGCCGCCGCGGGCCCUGCUGGUGCUGCUGGCGGCGGCGGCGGCGCUGUGGGCGCGGGCCGCCGCCGGGCCCUGCGCCGCGCCCUGCUCCUGCCGCCGCGGCCUGCUGGACUGCAGCCGCCACCGCCUGCCCGGCGGGCCGGGCCCGCGGAGGAUCCCGCCGCUGCCCGCCGGCACCACGGGCCUGGAUUUAAGUCAUAAUCAUUUAUUGUCAUCUAACUGGAGCAUUGACUUGUCUGUUCACACACUACAAGAAGUGAAAAUGAAUUACAAUGAGCUAAGUGAAAUUCCAUACUUUGGAGAAACAACUUCCAAUAUAACUCUUCUCUCAUUGGUACAUAAUACAAUUCCAGAAAUAAAUGCUGAGCAGCUGCAAGUUUACCUUUCAUUGGAGAAUCUAGAUCUUAGUUCUAAUCUAAUCUCAGAAAUUAAAACUUCUUCUUUCCCGCGGAUGCAAUUGAAGUACCUGAAUCUGAGCAACAACAGAAUAACUACCCUAGAAGCAGGCUGUCUUGAUAACUUAUCCAGCUCUCUGAUGGUGGUAAAGCUAAACAGAAAUAGAAUUAGUGUGAUUCCACCAAAGAUCUUCAAAUUGCCUCAUGUGCAGUUUCUGGAACUGAAAAGGAACCGUAUUAAAAUAGUGGAAAGUCUUACAUUCCAAGGCCUGGAAUCCUUAAAAUCAUUAAAAAUGCAGCGCAAUGGGAUUAGCAGACUGAUGGAUGGAGCAUUCUUUGGCCUGAAUAAUAUAGAAGAAUUAGAACUGGAACAUAAUAACUUAACAGAAGUAAACAAGGGCUGGCUGUAUGGUCUGCGAACAUUGCAACAACUCUACAUUAGCCAGAAUGCCAUUAACAGGAUCAGCCCAGAUGCAUGGGAGUUCUGCCAAAGACUUUCAGAACUAGACUUGUCAUACAACCAGCUAACUCGCCUCAAGGAGUCUGCCUUUGUGGGACUUGGUUUAUUGGAGAAGCUAAACCUGGGUGACAACCGAGUUAGCCACAUUGCUGAUGGUGUGUUCAGAGGACUGACGAAUCUUCGAACCUUGGAUUUGCGGAACAAUGAGAUCUCAUGGGCCAUAGAAGAUGCAAAUGAAGCCUUUGCAGGACUCGGCAGACUUGAUAAACUAAUCUUGCAAGGAAACCAGAUUAAGUCAAUUACGAAGAAAGCAUUCUCUGGUCUUGAAGGACUUGAACAUUUGGAUUUAAGCAACAAUGCAGUGAUGUCCAUCCAAGAAAAUGCAUUUGCCCAGGCACACCUGAAAGAGCUGAUUUUGAACACUAGCAGCUUGCUUUGUGAUUGCCAGUUGAAAUGGCUGCCACAGUGGCUCACUGAUAGCCACUUACAGCAGGCUGUAAAUGUUAGCUGCGCUCACCCUGAAUGGUUAGCAGGACAAAGCCUCCUCAGUGUGGACCCUGAUGACUUUGUCUGUGAUAACUUCCCUAAACCACAGAUAAGAGUACAUCCUGAGACCACAAUUGCUCUACGAGGCAUGAAUGUGACCCUGACUUGCACUGCUGUGAGCAGCAGUGAUUCACCCAUGUCCACUGCCUGGCGUAAAGACAGUGAAGUAUUGUAUGAUGCAGAGGUUGAGAAUUUUGCCAGAUACCAGCAGCAAGGUGAUGAGGUUGUUGAGUAUACCACUGUCCUGCAUCUCUUCAAUGUGAAUUUCACCGAUGAAGGAAAAUAUCAGUGCAUCGUCACCAAUCACUUUGGCUCUAAUUAUUCUGACAAAGCCAAACUGACAGUCAAUGAGCUGCCUUCCUUCCUGAAAACCCCCAUGGAUCUUACUAUCCGCACUGGGGCCAUGGCCCGGCUGGAGUGUGCUGCAGAGGGCCACCCUACUCCCCAGAUCUCCUGGCAGAAAGAUGGUGGCACAGACUUUCCUGCUGCAAGAGAGAGGAGGAUGCACGUCAUGCCUGAGGAUGAUGUAUUCUUCAUUGCAAAUGUAAAAAUAGAAGACAUGGGAAUUUAUAGUUGUAUGGCACAAAACACUGCGGGUGGUUUGUCAGCAAAUGCUACGCUGACUGUGUUAGAAACUCCUUCCUUCGUUAGGCCCCUGGAAGACAGGACAGUAACCAGAGGUGAAACUGCUGUCUUGCAAUGUAUAGCUGGUGGCAGUCCUGCCCCUCGCCUCAACUGGACUAAAGAUGACGGGCCUCUAACAGUGACAGAACGGCACUUUUUUGCUGCAGCUAAUCAGCUCCUUAUCAUUGUGGAUGCUGGACUAGAGGAUGCUGGGAAGUAUACGUGCAUAAUGUCCAACACACUGGGCACUGAGCGUGGCCAUAUUUACCUAAAUGUCCUGGCUUCCCCAAAUUGUGAUUCUUCCCAGAGUGGCAUCGUCCAUGAGGAAGAUGGCUGGACAACAGUUGGCAUUGUGAUUAUAGUUGUGGUUUGCUGUGUUGUGGGAACUUCCCUGGUAUGGGUUAUUGUGAUCUAUCACAUGAGAAGGAAGAGUGAAGAUUACAGCAUCACUAACACAGAGGAGAUGAACCUACCUGCAGACAUUCCCAGUUAUUUAUCUUCCCAAGGAACUCUGUCAGAGCCUCAGGAAGGCUACAGUAACUCAGAGGCAGGAAGCCAUCAGCAGCUUAUGCCUCCAGCUACUGGCUACGUGCAUAAAGGCACAGAUGGUGGCACAGCACCAUUGGUGAUCUGCUCAGACUGCUAUGACAAUGCAAACAUCUACUCCAGGGCCCGGGAAUACUGUCCUUAUGCCUACAUCACAGAAGAGGACCCCCUUGAUCAAACUCUCUCUAAUCUCAUGGUUCAGAUGCCUAAGGAAAUGUACACAGCGCGCACCCAGCAUGACACCAGCGCUCUUGAUAAUCUUAUAGCAGACAGAGACAUGUCUGUCUUCCUCACCAACCAUGAGAGAAUAAGUGAGAAGAAAAUCUCUUCCCAGCAGAUGAAUGAACCCUUUCAGCUUCCUUUAUGGGGAGUAAACAAGGACCUAGGGCUGUCUCACUCACCCUUUCUGCAUCAGCAGUCAGCCCGUGAGACCCCACGACCUCUUCGAAGCGAGGGCAUUAUUGACAGUGGCCGGGAACAAGCUGCUUCACCCAGACCUUGCCACAGGUUACGUGAACAUAACUUUGAUUUUAAUAGGACACGGAACAUUCAGGACCAUAGUGAAACCACAUAAGGCACUAAAAUGAAGUCUUGGAAGCAAAUCCGCAUCAACUGACUUUUUGUAUUUACUACCUCAGGACUAACCCCAAGGCCAAAGAUGCUUUCGUACGCGUGCCUACAAUUACAGGCUGACUAGACCAAGACAGACUCCUUAGAAGGAGGUGGUACAUGCCCUUUUUCCUUAGAUUCGUGUGCAUUGGAAAAUGGGAAUGUACAACAGUACACAUGAAAGAUUAGUGAUAACCACAACAACAGCAUUAAAACAUUAUUUUUCUGAUGUUGGAAACAGCCUUUGUGUUAGUGCAUGCUUUGAAAAAUCUCUCAAGAAUGCAUAGCUAUUUCACGCUGCAUUGUCUGCUUGAAAACAAAUGUUCAGGGCCUCCUCAUGGAAUUCCCCAGUAAUUGUAAGCAUAAAAUUCUUGGCCAGCUUUUUGUUCUUUAGACUGUUGGCAGGAGACUGUUAUCAGUCGAACUUUGGGGGUUGUUUUCUCCUAUGAAUAAUGGACUCUAGUUGUAAAUAAAUUUGCAUUUAUAAAUAUUUUGUAUACACUAAGCAUAUAAAUGUGUUGGCUGUAAUGUAAAUAUAUUUUUUAUUAUGCCAAAGUAUGUAUCAUACUGUUAGUCUUGACAGCUACGUAUCAAGCCAUAAUUUUCGGUGGAGGUUGAGGGAUUGAGAGCUUGCUUCUGAGGGGAUAGAGCUGGUUUUUUCACUUUGGAAAGAAGUGGAUGUGCUAUAGGUAUGUGGUGAAACUGUGAUAUUAAUGAAUUUCAUUGUUAUCUACAACUCUGUAUGCAUUAAGCAUGGCUGACCUGACUGCAAGCUCAUCCAUUUCAUUACAUUAGCAGAAUUCCAAGUUUGGUCCAUUAUGUGUUGAGAGAGUCCCUAAAUCUCUCUGUUAGGCACCCAUCUUUUCCAGUAGAGUAUAAUGUCCAGCAGAUCCUGCAUUAACAAACUGGGCUGUAGUAUCUGACUUCCCAGGAGUUCUUGUAAAUACUGAACACAGGACUAGUACACAAAAUGUUUUUCUGCUCAGCUGUUAAAUAUGUACAAGAUGGCAGUAUAAGUUCUGAGUUGCUCAAGUUUCAAAAGUUACCUAAGCUUUUAUCUUUAAAAAGCUUUUGUAUUGUGCAUACAGUGUGCACUCUGUAUUGCAGAGAGGUCUCUGUGUAUUUUUCAUGGCUGACAGCUGAGUCAGUGAACUUCUUAAAAGAAUGUCAUGAUGAAAAGCAUUGGAUAACUUGGAAGAGCAUUUGAUCAAUACACAGUGCGCUAUACUAUAUGGAUUUUCUGUUUCCUCUGCACAGCCAAGAGGAAUAUGUAGUUUAAAAAGCUUACCUCCUUUUCUGUCAUGAAGUAUCAGGAAAAUUCUUACCCUGUUGACCUCUGUAAUAGUUCCCUGGAUCUCAGAGUGGCCAAAACGUUGCAGUAUUUGACAGGUGAGAAAUGAAACAAUAUAGGGCAGGGGUGCUCUGUACUGAAAAUCCAGUACUUACUGAGGCAAACAGUAACAUGCACAGAAACUUCACUGCAGACAGUGGGGUGUGCCUGACAAAAUAAGGAGGAAGAACAUUAUGGAGACUUCCCGAAAAGUUCUUGCCUCUGGAAAAAUGUGCCUGUGCAGACCGUGUUAAUGGCUCUCAUCAGUGCUGGAUUUUCAGCAAGUAGGUUAGAGCUAGAGUGCUUUCAAGGUUGUACUGUAACUUCCCAUGCACUCCUUCCUGAAGGGCAAGGGCUUUCUUCCUAGUUAUUGUUGCAUUUCUCCCCCCACCUCGCCCCCUCUCCCCAAACCAUAGGAUAUGUACUAAAGUAAAAACAGCCACAUUGUGUAUUUUUAUAAAGACAGAAAAAGAAUUUUGGAUCAGUCCAAAAGAGCUGUAUAAGACUUCCUGUUGAUCCAUUCCUAAAUGGGAGGGUGCGUGACUGAAGUCUCAGGUGCAACUAUGCAAAAUUACGGCUGAAGUUUUUGAGUUUGUGGAUUAUUGAGUAAAUGAGUGAGGAAGAAGGUGGGAAUAAUUAUUUUCACACUCUUUGGACAUGGAUAAUAGUCAGAUCUAGGCAAAUGAGCAAAUAUUAUCAAGGGCUCUUACCAUGCUCUCAAAGCAACCAUAAGAUAGCCAGCAGCUUUAGAAGGAAGAGGAUUCAGAGUUGUCUUUGACUUUUGGAUAAAGUAGAGAGAAAUGUAGGUGUGUUAAACUGUUGGGCUUUGACAUCCGGAAUAUUUUAAGGUGUUAUAUGUAAUGUACAUGCUAAAAGAAGAAUCUUAAGUUCUUUUCUGUAUUUACUUCCUCCAGGCUUUUUCUUCCCAGACAGCAUCUAAGACAUGGUACUUAUUUUCAGUACAAACUUACCUCUGUUGCAGGAACCUGCCACUGUCUUGAGUUUGAAGUCAGAUGAGAAAUGUCAGGUUAUGAAACUACAGCAGCAGAAAAACUCUCAUCCCUCUGGGCUGCUUGCUGCUUUGUUCCAAUAUUCGUAUAGGCUAACACGGCAGAGUUGCUCUUUGGCAUGUGCAGAGCCGUGAUUUCCUGCUAGCAGAAGAGUAGCACUUAUCCUACUACUGCUUUGUUUCCAUUCGCCAUUUGACAAACACUUGUUACUUUUUCUUCCUUCUCUCUUCUGUGGAGCAGAGCUAAUGCGAGUUUCCCAAGUAUCAGAAGAUAACUAUUGAUAUGGAAGUGCAUGAGGACAUCCAGACCUUAUGUGUACUUCAGGCACAACUUCUAGCAUGAUCAAAUUCACGUUAGGAAAAAAAGUUCAGUAAACUUAGUAAACAGCUUCAGGUGGGAUUCCGUCUUCUCAACAUGAAUGUUAUAUGUAUCCUUCACUUAAAUUGUUGGAAGAACGCUUAGUACUUAGCCUGGCUCAUGAAUUAGCUUCUCUACAUGGUAACAAAGCAGUAGAUGGCUGCGUGGCUGCAUCUGUGCCCCUUUUCUGGAGGCAGAGCACAAGAGUGAGGCAGUCAGCUAAUCCUGCCAGUGGCUGACGCAGUGCUGCAGUCCAGGUGUGCUUCUGAAAAGGAGAAGCAAGGAAGGAAGAAAUGACUGAGAGGGAAAGGCAGUCUGCAUAAAAACCACUUAGCCUAGGUGCUGCAGAAACAGCUGCUGAUCUUCAGAUGGUGGCAUGCAUGCUGACAGCCUCCACAGAUCCAGGUAGGGCUGUUCUCGCUGUUUAGACCCUAAGUGUUGUUGCCGUGUGUUUGCAAAUCUGGAAUUUUGUAUAGCUCAUGCACACAAUGCAAAUUCAUGGUAGUAUUUCUGGUCACACAAUUCAAGACCGUUUUGCCUCUUGUAAGAAGGUAUGUCAUGUACCAGACUAGUGUGGUGCAGCCAUUUUUAAGAUAGUCCCUUUUUUUGCUUAAUCAUGAGAAACAGUUCAUGUGAGGAAUCAAAACUUUGCAGAGAGUUCUAGCUAAUAUCAGAUAAGAUUUACGCAUCCAAGCAAACAAUUGAGGAUGGUGGUUGACUUCACUAAAUAAAAUUUUUCUUAGGAGCUGAGCACUUAAUGUACCUGAGCUUUUUGCUUGCAAUUCAUAACACUAGUCUCGGGGAAAUCUGGAAGGAAAGUGUUCUAUUUAAAUAGGUUCACCUGCAAUUUUGCAGCAAGUUUACAAAGGCAAAAUCUGGAUUUGUCACUAGGCUGUCAGUUUUCUUGAAAGCCUGUUGUUUGCUGUCUUGUCUCAAGUGCCUUAUGUAUGCCACCCGAAGUAUCUACUACCUGUGACAAAUAAGAAUGUUGCCAGGUUUUCUGUCAGUUGCUCCCAUCUAGAUCCAAAUUACUUUCAAAAUUAAAGCUUUUCUUAAAAUAGCUUUUGCUAUCAAACCUCUUCUUAUUUAAAUUUUCUAGUUGUAAACUUUCUGUACUUUCUUCUGAAAAUGUGGAGGUACUUCUACAAAGGUGCCGUUGAUUCUGGGCUAACAGAUUCAUUUAUUAUUGCGCUCCCAGUGCUGUCCUCUUGCCAUUCGGAUCCUUCAAAGUAAUGAAAAGCAGUUUUUUUUCUGGCAACAGACUUAUCAGUGUAAAUGAGCUAGUGACAGCAUGCCCCUGCGUACCUGCUGCAGGUGAGGGAGAGCAAGAGUUCAAGGGCUGCCGUCUUCUCCAAAGCACUAAUGGCUGCGGGUGAAGAGGUUUGAGCUCUGUGGCUGUCAGUGCAUAACUUCAGUGUGUCAGAUCCAGACCUGCCUCGAACCGCCGGCUGGCGGAAGUUGCCCAGUCCACAGCAAAACUGCUGCCUGAGCUGUCGCAGCACCGGGAUGCACUCGGCUUUCCUGGAGCUGCCACACGCCAUCCCGUCCCUCCUCCAGGAGCAGCGCUGUCGGUGCUGGCUGGGAGCAGACUCAUGCUACGCUUGCUGUGCAGCUGUGGCUACCUGAGAUGAGCCUGCUGACGAGGUGAUGGGAACAGGCAGCACAAGGAUGAUUCCCAGGCAGCUGCCGGUGUCCUGCAGUUCUGCCCAAGUCCGACAAUCAGCCCCUUGCCCAAGGAGACAGAAGCUGCCAGACGUUUUUUAGCAAUGCCAAGAGCUGCCUCGUGCUGGGGGAUCCGGCCCAUCCGCGGGAGAGGCCGUGCAGCCGGCGCGCGGGACGAGGGAGGACAAGCAGCGCCGAACCUCAGCAGCGCCCGUCCGGCUGCCACUGCUGCUUCAGUUUAAACUCCGAAGCCCAUUUCCCACAAAGGACGCUCGCCAGGGUCGUCGGCCUGCCGCGCCGCAGGAGGGGCUGAAUCCCAACUUUGGACUGUUUUAUUCCCGCGGGAGGAGCACAAGCGGCCGGACACCAGCUGCCAGGCGGUGCCGGUCCUCUCGCAGGACUCGCCGCCGCUGUGCGGGGACGCUUGCUCGUCGGCUGUGCCACAGCAAGAGACUUACGUCCCUGCUCGAGCUGUGACCAGAGAGAAGCGUGACGCGUGGCAAGAGGUGGAGACGGCCCCUUGGCCGAAAGCCUGGGCGCGAUGCCGGGGUCGAUCUGCUCCCCAGGGAUGAGGAAAGGCAGACGCGGUGAAAGCUGCUCAGCACAUAACAUGAUGCUGAACCCGCUUGGGGACCAAGGUCUCCUGCCAGGUUUCGCCUUCGGUCUCAGAAGAAACAUCUCUUCCCCACGCGCUGCACGUCCCAAGCCCUCUUCCGUGGGAGCAGCGAAUCCAUGCACCGGAGAAGCCCCAGGUCCGCGCUUGAUCCUUGCCAAACCGUUCCCUGGGACAAGGAGGACGGAGCAGCCGCGUGGCCGAGGGAGCUGGGAUGCAGCCAGUGCUUGGGCCGUCGCUGCUGGCGCUUUCCUCAUCGGCCAGGUGUUACUCCCUAAGUGAGCUCAAUCCCACCGCUCCGAGAGGGCCGUGCGGCAUCCAGCAGUAGCCCGAAGUGGGUGAUUACUUUCUGUGCUCUCAGAGAAGGGAGCUGCCUCCCAUCCCGUGCAAAGGAGAUGGAGGCACCCCCACGUGCAUCUCUCCUCUGGUCAGAAGCGGCAGGGCUCAGGGACCAGAGUCAGGCAGAGUCGAUCUUGAAUGGCCCCUGCUCCCGGGACAAGGCGGAACGUCCCGCUCCGAGGGACGGCGCAGCGGUGGGGAGCGGGCUGGGCCGUGGCUGGAGGUGCUCUUGCGGGGGCUGCGGGAAGACUCAUUACGGAGCUGCAGCGCGGCCAGGGCGUGCAGAGAUGCCUUAUAGCGUGGUCCUGGGGGGCCUCAAAUCUCUGCAAAACGCUGGCAGUAGAAAUGCUGGCUCUGGAAAUUGAUUUCUCACUUUCCCUGUGUCAGAGGCUGUUCGGAAAAGCUGCUGUCAGCACCUGGAAGUUAAUGUGUGCCGGUGCUUUUGCAACGUGGAGAUGGAGGUGGAAGGGGGCUGUCUGGCCGUCCUGCCUCGCGCUGCCGCCGGAGCUGGAGCGUUUCUGCCGCCCACAGCCCUUCCAGGAGCCCCAGCCACCAGCACCCCUCCGCCGUCCCUGUCCGGCCCCAGGGACCUCCCCGGGGACUGGCCCGGCUCCAGCUCCGCUCAUCCUGGAGAGCAUCUCUGGGAAGGGCUUUUGUGGAGACGUUGUCCCCGCGAAGCUGUCACGCGCGUUGUCACCUUAGCGGAGGGCGCGCAGAGCUGUUUGCCUGGGAGGUGGCUGCAGCUGGUUCCUGGCUCGCGGCAGGACGGGGCGCGAUGGCUCGUCGCGGACGUCCUUGUGCCUCUGCCGGGGGCCGAGUGUCCGUUCCUGUUCACCUGACAGCGAGCGUGCCAGCCCUCCAGGGCUCUUUGCAGCUACCAGCCCUUUCUUUCCCAGGUUUAAAAAUAGUUGCAGGCAUUGUAAACAACCUUGCACAGAACAUGACUUAAAACUUGUUUUUCAUCCUAUCUGUGCAACUCGUGAGAAUGACUGCUCUUACCUCGUUUCUGUGUGCAGCGAAGGAGAGGAAUAGGGACGACAUGGCACAUCAGCUUCAUGCAAGGAGAUGAUCUGUUUAUUUACUUCUGCUUCUGCAAUACUCCAAGUUCUUCAGGGGCUUCGCGAUGAAGAAGUAGCUCAGCAGUCACCAGCGAGUAGCUUGGAGCCGGUCACCUACCAGGCAACAGCGUGCAGAAAAUACGCUUACGGAGGAAAGAUUUUGGCUCUUCUUCAAAAGCCCUUUCCACAUCCAAGGUCUUUCUGACAGUCUCCACAUUAAUAAGCACUAGCACAUUAGCAGUUGUGAACUUUCUAUCUGCUGCUCAAAUGGCAUGAAUUAUGCACGGGGAGGUACGUGGGUGAGCGGUGUGCGAAUCGCUCCGAGCGGCGGGGCCAGCCGGUGCGCGGUGCCGUGCAGGGAGCGCUGGGGCCGGCUGCGGGGCAGCGCGUGGCCCCCACGCCGCUCGGGUGCCUGGGCUGGAGAACGGGCCGGGCGCCGCGCGACGGUGCGUCCCCGCGGGGCGCUCACCCCUGUGCCUGAGCUGCCAGCAGCACUGCGCUGUGCAUCUUGUUUUUCUCAAGUCAGUUACUGUGUAGACUUUCUUUAAAGCUCUCCCCAAUAACCCCAAAAUUGUGGUGUAAAGGCUCAUUAUUUAUUAUUUGGAAGGCAGUCCAUUAAAAGUCCAUUUGCAAAGAAGACGUAGGAAGAUCAGUUGCAGUGCAGAAGCCUUCUUGCUAAACAGCUGGGACACAGGACUGCUGUCCCCCACGCGGCACGGGGACCGAGGCCUGGGCCGCUCUCCCCGGGGGUCAGGGGCGCACAGCGCUCUGCACCGCGUCCUCCAAGCCCUGGUCACGCUCCCGCCCACGCCGUCCUGCUUUAUGCACCGGUCAGUCCUGGAGUAUUUUGCUCCCUGGGCUGCUGCUGCUCCGCGCUGGCAUGCCAUCUCCCAGCCAGGAGAAAAACAGCACCGGGUUCUCCUCGGCAAGCCAGUCCUCUGAACCUGAUUCGUGGCACCAGGCGGCGUUUGACGCGAACCUGCAGGUAAUUGCAUGUUCUUGCUAAAAAUAAUUGGGUAGCCUAAGUUCUGAUCACUGUAAUUGCAUCCUAAUGAAUUUGUGUGUCAACUUGUUAUGUGCAACUUUGACUUCUACUGUAAAUAUCAAAUUAAGUUCAUCGCUCAGUCUGCAGGCACAUGCAGUGCAGGGACUUUGCAGCACUCUGCAAUGAGCAGAUGAAUCGCCGGCUGCUCCGGCUCGCCGUCCACGUGCUGCGGUUGGACGGCCCCGGGGCCGGAGGGUGACAGGCAGCAGGUCGGGCUCGGCAGGGCCCGGCUAGACACGCUCUGCGCCUGUCCCCAACGCUGAAAGCCACCGGCCGCUAGCAAAAUGCUGCUGUGACCCUGCUGGCACGCAGGAGGAGGUUUCCUGGACUGCCAGGGACCAAACGUGGUGUUUACAAACCAGAAAUGAACCUGGAGACCAGAAAUGGGUAAUCCUAUCGACUACGUGAGAGUCGCGUGCAAAUAGCGCUGUUCGUUAUUAAUUGUCAUUGUUUAAGGAGACCAGAGCCCUUGUCUGCAAAAGGAGAAGCUUCUGCAGAAGUUUCUGAAAUGAUGCUGCAUUCCCCUAACGGCUCUUAGAGAACAUUACUUAUUGUCAUUGUUUUUCAUGUUCACCACCAAAAUACCACCUACAGCUCUCCUACAAAGCUGUGCAUGUUAGUUAACCUCAUUAAAUCCUAAAGGAUUAGUCAGCUGUUCCUCAACCACAGAAUUGUUAGGAAACAUCUAAAGCUCAAAGUUAUGUGGCUUGGAAAGUGAUUUUCUAAUACCCCAACUUCAAAGGCAUUCUGAAAUCCUGCAGCGUAAGGGAGACAGACUAAUGUUAAUCCACUGGAGUGCUGCUUAAUGGCCUGUUUAAUUUUUGUCCUGAUAGGUCUCUAGUAAGCAGCUAAGCAUGAAGGCUGCCUCUGAUAAGCCCUGGUUCAGCGUUGCCUCCAUGCGCGCGUCCCCCGGCCCCGCGCGUCCUCCUCCGUCGCGGGUCGAGCACCCGCGCACACGGGGACCCGCCGCCUCCGCGGUCACCCAGCGCUGCACCGAGCCUGGGGCACGGUGCUGCCUCGGGCAGGCGGAGAUGCCACACGUCCCCGCGGCCGGGCCCUCCUCACCGCCUGGGCGGGAGCCUGGCACCGCCGGGCUUUGCGGGGACGGCCCCAACUCGGAUGAAUACCGCUAUUAACUCCGCCGUAACGAAGGGACUGAACACGUGGCGCUCUGAGCGCACAAAGCACCGAAAGCUGCAAAUUAAUUAAGCUUCGUGGCCCCCUGUGAGAUGCAGAGGUAAUUACCGAGUUCCUGGUGCAUGUGGGGAAAUGGAGAAGGGGACCGGCUGCGGCCGUAGCGCCUCGGCAGCGCGGAGCAGCGGCACGAUGGGCGCUCCAGGCCCCGGGAAGGGGCUCCCACCUCGCCUGCCUCCCGCCCGGCUCUCAGGGAAACCGGGACAAACUCCCGGCGCCAGGAAAGGGGCCGGGACGGGGAGCCCUGCCGUGCCGUGCGGACCGGCUGGAAGCAGCGACGGCAGCGCUGCGGCGAGCGCGGCGCCCGGGAGCCCGGCAGCUCCAGCCGGGAAUGCCAGCAGCUGUCUUGCGGCAAACGGCACCGGCUCACCGGGACACGCUUUGCGUCCUGCGGCUUUUGGUGAGUCCUCGAGACGCUUCUGCGUGUCCUCCCUACGGCUGGGUUUGUGCACCUGCGGAUGAAGGGCAGCACGUUCUGCGGAGCAGCAAAGACCACAGCAGCUCUCAAGCCUUAAUUUUGGUAACAAAUAGUGCCUAAAGGUCUUCUGCAGGCCAUCUCCCAACAGGUCACUCGUUUCCUCUUUUCUCUUAGCGAAGCUGACCUAAAAGCCUGACGCCGAGACGCAGAGAACCGUAUACUGCACCGUGCUGUCCUUCAGCGAGGGCGAGCCGAGCUGUGGAAGCUGAGAGCUGAUACCUGUAAAACAGAAUUUGGAGUCCAUCAACAAAGAAAGGCAAGUCCCUGCUUUCUGAAAGGGAAAUAAAUUUUGACAUCUUAAUUAUAAGUCAGAGGAAAGGUUGCUGCUGAAAUAGCGAUCUUUGAAGAUUAUUACUAUAUCGCCAUUAUUCAUUAAUGACUACAAAUGAGCUCUCAACGGUAAUGGUAAAUUAUAAUCACAGACCUAGGAAGCUGCUAUUAUAUCCCAUUUAUUCCAAAAGAGUUCUUUGCUAUUAACUUGAUAACAAAAAAACAGGAGUAUUAAUAAGGCUUUGGCCUGCCAUAACGUGUAUUGCUAUAUAAAUACUGCCGGGGAAAAAAGAAUCUAGAAAAAUCUGUUUCAUUAUGUUUCAAGCAACAACCACUUUUAAAACUGAAUUAAAAUAGAACUUCAUAAUUAGAUGAGCUGCUUCUGGGCUGUGAGCUGAAUGCGUCUGGCCAACUGAGCAGCUCCAAGGCCAGAAGACGUUUGGUCUCUCUCCUGUCUCCGCUGUCUCUAGUCCCCGCACGCUGCCUCCUUUUUAACUGAAACUGCUUUCACACGGCGGUUUGCCGUGACCUGGCGGCAGUGUUUCUGCCUGCCCAGCAGGACUCACCGGGGAGAGGAAAGGGUGGAACACAAAACGAACCGCACGCCUUAGAGCAGGCGUCCUGGCAGCGCUCUUCCAGGAAGGUGGCACCGGUAAAGGACCUGUGAAUCUGAGGCAACCUCUCAAACACGCCAGAAACCAUCACUUCUGUGAAUUUGUUGUAUGAAUCGUGGUGUUACGUGGCCCGUGCACAGGAGUAUUUGGGCAUCUCACACCUCUAAGAGCAUCCGUGGCGGAGUCGGAGCAGAGCCAGGCCUGAUUAGUCCUGUCUUAUUCCUCCACACAAGCUCAUCCAUCACCUUAGUCUCAAGUCAUUGCAUUGUAUCCUUGAAAAUAAGAGAUGGAGAAACCCGAUCUGAGAAGUGAACAAGGUGCAAUGGAAAGGUCAUAACUUAUUUCUUGGUUAAUGGAUCGUCAGUCAUUGCAUCUCACGGCAAGAUUGCCACGGUGGCCGUGGAAGAUAAGGAAAGAUUUCAUUUCUCAAGCUGUCCUGGGGGUCUCUUUUCCACCCUUUUCCACCCUCUUAUGUUCCUGCAAUUUGCCAAGAAGCAAAACAGAGAGGCCGAAAAGCUUUUUGCAGAUCUCUUCUGUAUCCUAAGUAUAUUUUUGCCAAGUUCUUCAUCUGCAAUAGGCCCUGGAUGGCCCCUCCCUUAAGGUGAAGUCUGUUCUGUCAGACUUAUUUGAUUUCUCGUACUGAAAUGUAAAUUAGCUUAAACUCACUGUAAGAAGCUUACUUCAAUAUGAGCUGUAAUUACUGCUAGGGCUGUAAAAAAAGCUUUCUUUAAAAGUUUUAUCAAAGUUAUUUUGUGUUAUUAUUGCUUUCUGUGAUGUGUCUGGAUUUACCAAACAGCAAAUAAUUCUGCACUUAUCUUGGUUCCUUUGAUAAUAUUUUUUAUGACAGAUCUACUGAGAUGCUACAUUAUUAACAUUAAAAACAGGAAGAAUGGGGACACUCUUUUCUAAAUAAGUCUGUAAAAAACCUUGCAUGCCAUUGCUGCUGCUUAAAUACUAAUCAUGGAAAGACAAGAAAUGUAUUAACCGUAUGGCUUUGUACUGAUUAAUAUAGGAGAUAUGAAUUAAUUUGAUGCUAGGACUAACCAGCACGGCCAGCAGUCCCCAGCGAGGCAAGGCUCGUCUGCUCCGAAGCUGCUUGGUUAGCACAGCUGCAAGAGCUCCUCGGGAUGAGCAGGCCGGCCAGGGACCAUCGCAGCAGCAGCAGCAGAGGGUGGCCGUGUCCCAAGUGCCCCCCGGACGCCAGGGAACGACUCGCCGGAGAUGCUCAAGCACACGCUGCCGGCUUGCAGGCGAGGCGAUAGUUCUCCUUCCCGAUGGAGAAGGGGCACGUGGGGAAGGGAGAAAUGUUUUUCUGGUCCCAGCUAUUCAUUGCUCCUCCUUCAACCUAUUUUUUAGAAAUAAAAAAGCUGAUGCAGCUUCGGCACCCUCUCGUCUUUCAAGAGGAGCAGUGGGAUGGGAGAGGGCCGGGCAGGGGCAUCUUGCCCCCACCGCUGGCUCAAAUCCAGCUGCGUUACUGUGAUAGAGACAGUUUGUUCCUGGAAGACCAGAGCAGACUGUAAUACUGCCUUUAAAUACCUGCAGGACUGCCAGGGCCUGAAGCAUGGAAGGCAAAGGCUUAUCCGAGUGGGCAACCGCUCUCAAGGAACCGUGUUUUCCUUCCGCAGCAUAAGGAAGGUUGAUGUUGUGCACGAACGGCACGCGGGAGCCCUGUUCUGCGCUGGUCUGCUCCCCUGCACGCCCGUCCCCUGCUCCCCGUGCCGGCGAGGAGAGAGCGACGGGGAGAAGGACCAGGAACCGUACUCGGAAGGGAGCUGGGGAUUACACUUAUCAAGCAGAGGCUGGGAUCGGCUUUUGGGCCAUGUGAGCUAGCCCAAAUCCCCGCGAAUGGGACUACAAACCUUGACAAGGCUGCUAGGGAUAUUUCAGAUCCCAUUAAAGAUGUAAAACCACCGGCAGAGCUGAACCGCUUACGGCUGCUAACCCAGCUUCGGGUGAGGCAGGCUGACACCAGGGAGAAGGUUCAAGCGAGGGAUUUCCAUCAGGAUGAUCAGAAACACACUCAAAUAGAGAGAAAUGGCUGAAUUCACAAACGUGGCAGAACACGGUAAAACCAAUAGCCUUUUGCUGUUAGGGUGAAUGGUCUAAACAAUGUACUUGCUAGUCAAAGUUUGGUUUGUUUUAGAGGCAGUGUUCGCAAGAGGUGAUUACGUUCCCGCGGGUGAUUACGGCCGCAGACUGGAAGGUCUCCUUGCAGUGUGCGAGCAGACAAGCCAGGCAAGCCUCGCUACAGAGGAAAAGGCAAACCAGUUUUCUUGCUCCUCAGACUGGCUUGUUUGCCUCAAAAUGUGCUUCCUGAGCUUGCCGUAGCCUGAGCAGUGCAGCGGACAGGAACGCCGUGAAGAGCAGCGAUCUGUCGCAGCAGACCAAGCCUGCUCCAGGCCUUGGAGACAUUCGGACCCAGGGCGCACGCUGCAGACCGCGCGGGUCGGCGCCGUGCCGGUCCCGUAUCCGGGGGGCAGUUGUUCUCCCAGCCUGAGACAUCCACGAACGAGGUUUUGCCUGCUAUCGACAGUGCCGCCCAUUCCCGAUUAACGGAUUCAGGAGACGUGAUACAUCCUCGAAAGGCGCCGAUGCCCCGGGAAGGUGCAGUAGCUGCUGGCGUAGCAGCAGAAGGGCGGACGAGCAGGCGGCGUGAGGGAAGGCUCGUGGCCCCUGCCGAAACCGCUCCCGUGCCCAGCGUGGCAAAGGGGAAUGUCUCCCCUCCGUGAUGCAAACAGUGGAUGAAAUCGAUAGUCCUGCACCCGGACUGUGAAUGCCCAGAUGGCUUUUAGGGGUGGCCAGUCAUUACGACUCCCUGCAAACGCCUCCGUGGCCCUGCUGCUCUUGCUGCCUUGCUCUCCCAACACGUCAGUCCUGCUUUUCUCCCGGAGCCCUGUCAGCGCGACCCACGGGUUUGCUCCAGCACAAAGCACUAAGCUCUAGAUCCAGACUUAAAUGCUCCACUACUCCUUUUGGCUCUAAAUCCAGUGUGCAGACUUCAAACCCGUGCUUAGCCGUGAGUCUGAACAACUUUUGCAGUUUGGUGUUUGCCUGGGCCUUUAUGCUCGCUUUGCACUCGCUGGCGUCUGCAGCGCUUGAUCGCGUUGCACUGAAGACCUUUAAUCUGCGUCCCAGCAUGAGCAGCGGAGGGGUAUUUGUGUAGGCUGCUUCUUUAUUCACUUUGACAAGUCUUCUUCGUUCAUCUUUUAAACUCUGUUAUAGAGAAAGCUGCAGCAGCAGCAGACGGCUCUUCUAGCAGGCGUAUGUGAAGCAAUCUCUGCAGUUACCUCUUUUUUCUGUUUUUGAAGUUUUGACUCUUCAGGGAGAGCUGCAUAGGAAGGAGCAAAGUGCUUGUGAGCGUAUUGCUGAGCGCUCUGUCCAUGUCUGCGCUACGGCUGUUGACAGAAAGUGUUUCGCCUCUUCCAGUGGUUCCUGCCUCGCUUGUUGUUCCCCCUCGCCAGGUCUGUGCCAGACUGCAGCCGGCUGAACACCGCUCCCGUUGCACAAAGCAGAGGGGAGGCAGAGAGAGGCGAGAAGGACACAAUGCUGCAUGAAUCCUUCCUUGCUGGUGUUUGCAGGCAGUGUUGAGGUGUGCACUAAAUAUACACAGAUUUAUGGA